CGGGAAUUGGUGUCGCGACCACAACUCCGGCGGAGAUUCGCCGCUGGGCUGCUCGGGAGAGGGGCCGUGGCCUGGGAAAGCAGGACGCCAGUGUGUUCGGGGACCGGGAGCCCGAGAGUGGGCUGCCUCUCGCCUGCUCGGGGCCAAGCUUCCGCGGAGUCUAGGGGGUUGGAGUUUCAGGAGUUCGUGAAGCGGUCUGCGGACUGCGGCGUCGAUCUUUGGUUUGAGCGCUGGUUCUGGCCUUAUUUGUAUUUGCCCGCAAGAACGGCUACUCUCAGUCUUCCCUGAGGUUGGUGGGUUUUGGACUUCAUCACUAGUUUUUCAAGACUUCCCUGUGUGUGAGCACUGGUCGUCCUGCUCAGGGCGCGGUACAGAGCGCCGUGUGGUAGAAGCUGAGGGUAGAAGGCCUUACUUAAGUGAAAUGUUGGAGGUUGAGGUGACGAAUCUGGCUUUGACAUCUUCCUGGAGGACUACGUUAUUUUUAUCCUAAAUCUGGUUCAGUUCCCUUACUGAUUUAUUAUUACAUUAAAAAUGUUUAUUUAAUCAA